AUUGAACGCUGGCGGCAUGCCUAACACAUGCAGGUCGAACGGCAGCACGGGUGCUUGCACCUGGUGGCGAGUGGCGAACGGGAGAGUAAUACAUCGGAACAUGUCCUGUAGUGGGGGAUAGCCCGGCGAAAGGCGGAUUAAUACCGCAUACGAUCUACGGAUGGAAGCGGGGGACCUUCGGGCCUCGCGCUAUAGGGUUGGCCGAUGGCUGAUUAGCUAGUUGGUGGGGUAAAGGCCUACCAAGGCGACGAUCAGUAGCUGGUCUGAGAGGACGACCAGCCACACUGGAACUGAGACACGGCCCAGACUCCUACGGGAGGCAGCAGUGGGGAAUUUUGGACAAUGGGCGAAAGCCUGAUCCAGCAAUGCCGCGUGUGUGAAGAAGGCCUUCGGGUUGUAAAGCACUUUUGUCCGGAAAGAAAUCCUUGGCCCUAAUACGGUCGGGGGAUGACGUUACCGGAAGAAUAAGCACCGGCUAACUACGUG
rnacentral:rRNA from 1 species